GGAUAGCUCAGUUGGUUAAGAGUGUGGUGCUGAUAACGCCAAGGUUGCAGGUUUGAUCUCCGUAUGGGACA
rnacentral:tRNA from 1 species